AGUGAACGCUGGCGGUAGGCCUAACACAUGCAAGUCGAACGGCAGCACAGUAAGAGCUUGCUCUUACGGGUGGCGAGUGGCGGACGGGUGAGGAAUACAUCGGAAUCUACUUUUUCGUGGGGGAUAACGUAGGGAAACUUACGCUAAUACCGCAUACGACCUACGGGUGAAAGCAGGGGAUCUUCGGACCUUGCGCGAUUGAAUGAGCCGGUGUCGGAUUAGCUAGUUGGCGGGGUAGAGGCCCACCAAGGCGACGAUCCGUAGCUGGUCUGAGAGGAUGAUCAGCCACACUGGAACUGAGACACGGUCCAGACUCCUACGGGAGGCAGCAGUGGGGAAUAUUGGACAAUGGGCGCAAGCCUGAUCCAGCCAUACCGCGUGGGUGAAGAAGGCCUUCGGGUUGUAAAGCCCUUUUGUUGGGAAAGAAAAGCAGCAGGUUAAUACCCCGCUGUUCUGACGGUACCCAAAGAAUAAGCACCGGCUAACUUCGUG
rnacentral:rRNA from 1 species